rnacentral:rRNA from 1 species
UACGUAGGGUGCGAGCGUUAAUCGGAAUUACUGGGCGUAAAGCGUGCGUAGGCGGUUCCUCAAGUCCGUUGUGAAAGCCCCGGGCUCAACCUGGGAAUGGCAGUGGAAACUAGGGGACUGGAAUCUGGCAGAGGGGGGUGGAAUGCCGCGUGUAGCAGUGAAAUGCGUAGAUAUCGGGAGGAACACCGGUGGCGAAGGCGGCCCCCUGGUUGGAUACUGACGCUGAGACGCGAAAGCGUGGGGAGCAAACAGG